GAACCCGUGGCGCAGUGGUAGCGCGUAUGAUUCCAGUAUUAGUGGCAUCCAUAAGGUCAUCCGUUCAAUCCGGGUCGGGUUCA
rfam:Rhizopogon vesiculosus strain AM-OR11-056 contig9054, whole genome shotgun sequence.